rnacentral:rRNA from 1 species
UACGAAGGGGUCUAGCGUUGUUCGGAAUUACUGGGCGUAAAGCGCGCGCAGGCGGUCUUCCAAGUCAGUGGUGAAAGCCCGGAGCUCAACUCCGGAACUGCCAUUGAAACUGUUAGACUUGAGGAUGAGAGAGGUGAGUGGAAUUCCCAGUGUAGAGGUGAAAAUUCGUAGAUAUUGGGAAGAACACCGGUGGCGAAGGCGGCUCACUGGCUCAUUACUGACGCUCAGGCGCGAUAGCGUGGGGAUCAAACAGG